GAGUUGUCCGUGUGGAGUUGACCACAAGCCUAUUCGUGGUCUGUAAGGUGGCUGAAAUAAUGCCUUACGACCCGCCGUUGACUAAAGUUGCCUCUUCGGGGGUUUGACUGGACGGUGGGCGUGCCUCCAUACGGGAAGCUCUGCAGUAAAACAUCUUCAGCGAUUGGCGGCUGAAGAGCACAUUACCUGCU
rnacentral:ribozyme from 1 species